rnacentral:rRNA from 1 species
UACGUAGGGUGCAAGCGUUAAUCGGAAUUACUGGGCGUAAAGCGUGCGCAGGCGGUUAUGCAAGGCAGCUGUGAAAUCCCCGGGCUCAACCUGGGAACUGCAUUUGUGACUGCAUAGCUGGAGUGCGGCAGAGGGGGAUGGAAUUCCGCGUGUAGCAGUGAAAUGCGUAGAUAUGCGGAGGAACACCGAUGGCGAAGGCAAUCCCCUGGGCCUGCACUGACGCUCAUGCACGAAAGCGUGGGGAGCAAACAGG